UGGGGAAUCUUGCACAAUGGGCGAAAGCCUGAUGCAGCGACGCCGCGUGCGGGAUGAAGGCCUUCGGGUUGUAAACCGCUUUCAGCAGGGACGAGGCCGCAAGGUGACGGUACCUGCAGAAGAAGCCCCGGCUAACUACGUGCCAGCAGCCGCGGUAAUACGUAGGGGGCAAGCGUUAUCCGGAUUCAUUGGGCGUAAAGCGCGCGUAGGCGGUCUGUUAGGUCAGGAGUUAAAUCUGGGGGCUCAACCCCUAUCCGCUCCUGAUACCGGCAGGCUUGAGUCUGGUAGGGGAAGAUGGAAUUCCAAGGGUAGCGGUGAAAUGCGCAGAUAUUUGGAAGAACGCCGGUGGCGAAGGCGGUCUUCUGGGCCAUGACUGACGCUGAGGCGCGAAAGCUAGGGGAGCGAACAGG
rnacentral:rRNA from 1 species